AUUGAACGCUGGCGGCAGGCCUAACACAUGCAAGUCGAACGGUAACAGGAAUCAGCUUGCUGAUUUGCUGACGAGUGGCGGACGGGUGAGUAAUGUCUGGGAAACUGCCUGAUGGAGGGGGAUAACUACUGGAAACGGUAGCUAAUACCGCAUAACGUCGCAAGACCAAAGAGGGGGACCUUCGGGCCUCUUGCCAUCGGAUGUGCCCAGAUGGGAUUAGCUAGUAGGUGGGGUAAAGGCUCACCUAGGCGACGAUCCCUAGCUGGUCUGAGAGGAUGACCAGCCACACUGGAACUGAGACACGGUCCAGACUCCUACGGGAGGCAGCAGUGGGGAAUAUUGCACAAUGGGCGCAAGCCUGAUGCAGCCAUGCCGCGUGUAUGAAGAAGGCCUUCGGGUUGUAAAGUACUUUCAGCGGGGAGGAAGGGAGUAAAGUUAAUACCUUUGCUCAUUGACGUUACCCGCAGAAGAAGCACCGGCUAACUCCGUG
rnacentral:rRNA from 1 species